rnacentral:rRNA from 1 species
GAUGAACGCUGGCGGUCUGCUCAACACAUGCAAGUCGACCGGAAUCCUUCGGGAUUUCGUGGCGGACGGGUGAGUAACGCGUGAGAAUGUGCCUUCAGGUUCGGGACAACAGCUGGAAACGGCUGCUAAUACCGGAUGCGCCGAGAGGCGAAACCUUUAGUGCCUGAAGAUGAGCUCGCGUCUGAUUAGCGAGUAGGAGUGGUAAUGGCACCCCUAUGCGAAGAUCAGUAGCUGGUCUGAGAGGAUGAUCAGCCACACUUGGACUGAGACACGGCCCAGACUCCUACGGGAGGUAGCAGUGGGGAAUUUUCCGCAAUGGGGGCAAGCCUGACGGAGCAAGACCGCGUGAGGGAAGAAGGUCUGUGGAUUGUAAACCUCUUUUGAUGGGGAAGAAGACAGUGACGGUACCCAUCGAAUCAGCCUCGGCUAACUCCGUGCCAGCCGCCGCGGUAA